rnacentral:rRNA from 1 species
AGAAUCAACGCUGGCGGCGUGCCUAACACAUGCAAGUCGCACGAGAAAGGGAGCAAUCCCUGAGUAAAGUGGCGCACGGGUGAGUAACACGUGAAUCAUCUACCUCCGAGUGGGGAAUAAACCUAGAGAAAUCUGGGCUAAUACCGCAUAACACUUACGAGUCAAAGCAGCAAUGCGCUUGGAGAGGAGUUCGCGGCCGAUUAGCUAGUUGGCGGGUAAUGGCCCACCAAGGCGAUGAUCGGUA